rnacentral:rRNA from 1 species
UACGUAGGGUGCGAGCGUUAAUCGGAAUUACUGGGCGUAAAGCGUGCGCAGGCGGUUCGUUGUGUCGGCGGUGAAAGCCCCGGGCUUAACCUGGGAAUGGCCGUUGAAACUGGCGAACUGGAGUGUGGCAGAGGGGGGUGGAAUUCCGCGUGUAGCAGUGAAAUGCGUAGAGAUGCGGAGGAACACCGAUGGCGAAGGCAGGUCUCUGGGCUGGCACUGACGCUCAUGCACGAAAGCGUGGGGAGCAAACAGG